rnacentral:lncRNA from 1 species
GCACACAAGGCAGUUCCUUGGAGUACAUUCGUCGCUGGCAGAGUGCGACGUCAAAUUUCGCCGGAUAUAUUUCGAGGAUCGUAAAUUUUGAAGAGAAGAAUUAGUCAUGGCUGGGAAAGAAGCCUCUGAGUUCACUGGACUCAGCAAAUACUUCAAUUCUACCACCAUCACUGGGCGGAAAAAUACAUCAAUUGCAACCUUCGCCGUGCUGGGGGCUGUCAUUUUCUACAACCUCGUGAAACCAAAGAAGAAGCAAGCAUGAACUGCUUUACCCAAUUCCUCGUUGUAGAUAAUUGAUCAUAUGCGCAUUCUCAAGUGUUCUCAGGUGGUAGGUAUCACAAUGGGAAUAGGCAAGUUACGAUUACACGUAUCGUACGUAUGUUGACAACCAUAGAUUGAUGAUUUCGUCAUUCUUAGCCGAAGAGAGGUAUAGAAGUUCUGGAAUAAGUUGAAUCCGUUUCGAAAUUGUUUGAUGAAAUUUCUUUGUAAUUUAUUAAUUGAAGUUUAAAUAAAUUAUGAAGUCGUAA